rnacentral:misc_RNA from 1 species
AACUGAUACUACCUGCGGGAACCUGCGGAAGGAUCAUUACUGAAGUGAUUUGGGGAUGUUGCUGGCCCUCUCUCAAGGGGGGACACUGUGCACUCCUCGAAACAAUUCACAAUUUCCAUCACACCCCUUGUGCACACCUUGUAGGCACCCAAACCCACCUCCGGGUGGUGGGGUCCUAUGUAUUCCUUCAUCUCACACUCUGUUGAAUGGUGCCAUGGGACGCAUCUAAAGGAUUAUUUG